AGGGGGCCUGAGGGGAGCCGGCGGCGGCGGGAGGGGGCGGCGGCCGUGGCCUCACGGAUUCGGUGCCGCCGCUGCUCAGCGCCGCGGGGGGAUGCCUGUCCCGUCCUGUUCCCGGCGCCCCCUCAGUUUUGGGGUACCCCUGAGGUGUACACGGUGUCAGGGAUGACGCAGGUGACAGCAUCCUACAGGUGUCACAGGUGACAGGAUCACCUACCUGGACACGGAGCGGGAGGGGACAACUGUCCCACAGGAUGUAGGAGUGCCACGGCUCCACAGCAUGCCUGUUCCAUCCCACCGUCCCCCCCUGCUGCUGCCUGGACUCCCAGCUGACCUCUCCCCGCCUCCCCCAUGAGUGCAGCCCUCCAAUAAAGCCUCUGCCCCCCAA